GAUGAACGCUGGCGGCGUGCCUAAUACAUGCAAGUCGAGCGAACGGACGCGAAGCUUGCUUUUCUGAUGUUAGCGGCGGACGGGUGAGUAACACGUGGAUAACCCACCUAUAAGACUGGGAUAACUUCGGGAAACCGGAGCUAAUACCGGAUAAUAUUUUGAACCGCAGGGUUCAAGAGUGAAAGACGGUCUUGCUGUCACUUAUAGAUGGAUCCGCGCUGCAUUAGCUAGUUGGUAAGGUAACGGCUUACCAAGGCAACGAUGCAUAGCCGACCGGAGAGGGUGAUCGGCCGCACUGGAGCUGAGACACGGUCCAGACGCCUGCGGGAGGCAGCAGUAGGGAAUCUGCCGCAGUGGGCGAAAGCCUGACGGAGCAGCGCCGCGUGAGUGAUGAAGGUCUUCGGAUCGUAAAACUCUGUUAUUAGGGGAGAACAUAUGUGUAAGUAGCUGUGCACAUCGUGACGGUACCUAAUCAGAAAGCCACGGCUAACUACGUG
rnacentral:rRNA from 1 species